UACAGAGGGUGCGAGCGUUAAUCGGAAUUACUGGGCGUAAAGCGUGCGUAGACGGUUAUUUAAGUCGGGGUGUGAAAGCCCCGGGCUCAACCUGGGAAUUGCAUUCGAGACUGAAUAGCUAGGGUACGGUAGAGGGAAGCGGAAUUUCCGGUGUAGCGGUGAAAUGCGUAGAUAUCGGAAGGAACAUCAGUGGCGAAAGCGGCUUCCUGGACCAGUACCGACGUCAGGCACGAAAGCGUGGGGAGCAAACAGGA
rnacentral:rRNA from 1 species